rnacentral:rRNA from 1 species
GAUGAACGCUAGCUACAGGCUUAACACAUGCAAGUCGAGGGGCAGCGGUAUCGAAAGCUUGCUUUCGGUAGCCGGCGACCGGCGCACGGGUGAGUAACGCGUAUCGAACCUGCCUCAUACUCGGGAAUAGCCUUGCGAAAGUAAGAUUAAUGCCCGGUGUUUUCAGAGUCCCGCAUGAGGCUUUGAACAAAGAUUUAUCGGUAUGAGAUGGCGAUGCGUCCCAUUAGCUUGUUGGCGGGGUAACGGCCCACCAAGGCAUCGAUGGGUAGGGGUUCUGAGAGGAAGGUCCCCCACAUUGGAACUGAGACACGGUCCAAACUCCUACGGGAGGCAGCAGUGAGGAAUAGUGGUCAAUGGGCGGAAGCCUGAACCAGCCAAGUAGCGUGCAGGAAGACGGCCCUCCGGGUUGUAAACUGCUUUUAGUUGGGAAUAAAACGGGGCUCGUGAGCCCCCUUGCAUGUACCAUCAGAAAAAGGACCGGCUAAUUCCGUG